GGCAGCAUGGCCGAGUGGUCUAAGGCGGUAGACUUGAAAUCUACUCUCUUCGGAGGCGUGUGUUCGAACCACACUGCUGUCG
rnacentral:tRNA from 1 species